UAAGGAAUAUUGGACAAUGGAGGCAACUCUGAUCCAGCCAUGCCGCGUGAAGGAAUAAGGCCCUAUGGGUUGUAAACUUCUUUUAGACGGGACAAAACCCCUUUACGUGUAAAGGGUUGAUGGUACUGUCAGAAUAAGCAUCGGCUAACUUCGUGCCAGCAGCCGCGGUAAUACGAAGGAUGCAAGCGUUAUCCGGAAUUAUUGGGUUUAAAGGGUGCGUAGGCGGACUAAUAAGUCAGUGGUGAAAGCCUGCAGCUUAACUGCAGAAUUGCCAUUGGUACUGUUAGUCUUGAGUACAGUUGAGGUAGGCGGAAUGUGUCAUGUAGCGGUGGAAUGCUUAGAUAUGACACAGAACACCGAUUGCGAAGGCAGCUUGCUAAGCUGUAACUGACGCUGAGGCACGAAAGCGUGGGGAGCAAACA
rnacentral:rRNA from 1 species